UUGCUAGGAGGCGUCGAGCGGCGGACGGGUGAGUAAUGCAUAGGAAUCUGCCCGGUAGUGGGGGAUAACUUGGGGAAACCCAAGCUAAUACCGCAUACGCCCCAAGGGGGAAAGCAGGGGAUCUUCGGACCUUGCGCUAUCGGAUGAGCCUAUGUCGGAUUAGCUUGUUGGUGAGGUAAUGGCUCACCAAGGCGACGAUCCGUAGCUGGUCUGAGAGGAUGAUCAGCCACAUCGGGACUGAGACACGGCCCGAACUCCUACGGGAGGCAGCAGUGGGGAAUAUUGGACAAUGGGCGAAAGCCUGAUCCAGCCAUGCCGCGUGUGUGAAGAAGGCUUUCGGGUUGUAAAGCACUUUCAGUGAGGAAGAAUGCCUUGGGCUUAAUACGUCCGAGGAAAGACAUCACUCACAGAAGAAGCACCGGCUAACUCCGUGCCAGCAGCCGCGGUAAUACGGAGGGUGCGAGCGUUAAUCGGAAUUACUGGGCGUAAAGCGCGCGUAGGUGGCUUGAUAAGCCGGUUGUGAAAGCCCCGGGCUCAACCUGGGAACGGCAUCCGGAACUGUCAGGCUAGAGUGCAGGAGAGGAAGGUAGAAUUCCCGGUGUAGCGGUGAAAUGCGUAGAGAUCGGGAGGAAUACCAGUGGCGAAGGCGGCCUUCUGGACUGACACUGACACUGAGGUGCGAAAGCGU
rnacentral:rRNA from 1 species